UAUGCAGAGCUGAGACUCCUGGUAGAGAGAUACUUAAGUUUGGCGCUCCCAAGUCAGCAGUACAAAGUCCUCUCUGUCAAGGAAGAAUGGUUCUCUGUGCAAGUGAUGUGUUUGUCUUGCCUUUGCUCAGCUCAAGGGAGCACCAGUGAAUCAUCCUUUACCAUCACAAGAACGUGGCCGUCGGUUUCUGCUUCGGAAGCUCCUCAGACCAAUGUGUCUGUAUUGCUUCCCAGUCAGCAGUAUUCAGAAAACGGGCUAUACAUCGGGAUUGGUUUAUGUGCAGUACUUCUAGCCAUCCUUAUUUUGGCCCUGUUCCUCGCUAGACAAUAUUUAUACAAUACGAAGAAGACUGGUGACUUUGCAAACUUUGUUGCAUUUUGGAGGCCAGAAGCUGCAGGGAAUCAUAGUGCCCUGGAAGAUGAGAUCCAUGCAGAGGAAAACAUUUAUAUAAUACACUAAGGACUAUAUGCAUGCUUGCCUUUGUCAUCGCUGGGACAUUAAAUAGUUUGCAAAAUGUUAGCUGCUCCCUCUGCUCAGCAGCUAAAUGUGACUGGACUACUGAAGCAUUAUUCACAUCAUUCUAAUAAAACAAAUAAAAGCU
rnacentral:lncRNA from 1 species